AUUGAACGCUGGCGGCAUGCCUUACACAUGCAAGUCGAACGGCAGCACGGGGCAACCUGGUGGCGAGUGGCGAACGGGUGAGUAAUGCAUCGGAACGUACCUUUCAGUGGGGGAUAACGUAGCGAAAGUUACGCUAAUACCGCAUAUUCUGUGAGCAGGAAAGCAGGGGAUCGCAAGACCUUGCGCUGAUUGAGCGGCCGAUGUCAGAUUAGCUAGUUGGUGAGGUAAAGGCUCACCAAGGCGACGAUCUGUAGCGGGUCUGAGAGGAUGAUCCGCCACACUGGAAUUGAGACACGGUCCAGACUCCUAUGGGAGGCAGCAGUGGGGAAUUUUGGACAAUGGGGGCAACCCUGAUCCAGCCAUGCCGCGUGAGUGAAGAAGGCCUUCGGGUUGUAAAGCUCUUUCGGCCGGGAAGAAAUCGCACGGGCUAAUACCCUGCGUGGAUGACGGUACCGGAAUAAGAAGCACCGGCUAACUACGUGCCAGCCGCCGCCGCAGUAA
rnacentral:rRNA from 1 species